rnacentral:rRNA from 1 species
CGAACGCUGGCGGCGUGCUUAACACAUGCAAGUCGAACGGUGAAGGGACCGGCUUUUGCUGGUUCUGGAUGAGUGGCGAACGGGUGAGUAACACGUGAGUAACCUGCCCCCUUCUUCUGGAUAACCGCAUGAAAGUGUGGCUAAUACGGGAUAUUCUGGGUCUGUCGCAUGGCGGGUCUGGGAAAGAUGCGCCUUUGGGUGUUUUUGGUGGGGGAUGGGCUCGCGGCCUAUCAGCUUGUUGGUGGGGUGAUGGCCUACCAAGGCGGUGACGGGUAGCCGGCCUGAGAGGGUGGACGGUCACACUGGGACUGAGACACGGCCCAGACUCCUACGGGAGGCAGCAGUGGGGAAUAUUGCACAAUGGGCGCAAGCCUGAUGCAGCGACGCCGCGUGAGGGAUGGAGGCCUUCGGGUUGUAAACCUCUU